UACAGAGGGUGCAAGCGUUGUUCGGAAUUACUGGGCGUAAAGCGCGUGUAGGCGGCUUACUAAGUCAGAUGUGAAAUCCCUUGGCUUAACCGAGGAACUGCAUCUGAUACUGGUGAGCUAGAGUGUCGGAGGGGAUGGUAGAAUUCCUGGUGUAGAGGUGAAAUUCGUAGAGAUCAGGAGGAAUACCUGUGGCGAAGGCGACCAUCUGGAAGACAACUGACGCUGAGACGCGAAAGCGUGGGUAGCAAACAGG
rnacentral:rRNA from 1 species